CAUUCUCACUCCAAAGGCGUCAAAAACCGAAGCAUGGUCAAGCGCCCCUAGCGUCACUUUUAUGACGCCAAAUGUGCCUCUCGGCGUCGAAUAUCGAAGCACUACGACCUUCAUUGCUUUCAGUGGGAAACUUUUGGCGUCAGAAUUCGACACGACGAGGACAUGAGAUGUUUAUCGCUAUGAAAUCACGUUCAAGAAGUCUCAUUCAGCACACAUCGCGAUACUUGCUAUCAGUUCCACAGUUUGGCUGAAAAGACGUAAAGGAAGCCCAGUGGUGUUUCUGGAGAGCUAUUCCUUCAGAAAUGGAGAAGACAGAAAGCUGCGGAGGCAGAUAUAUGCAGCAGUAAGUCUGUGAUAGUUUGUCCCUUUUAUCAAACAUUCCUGCUGUUAUAAUUUGUACAGCAUUUGUUGUUUCUUAAACUGUUGCACUGUCCAAAUACCCACACUUGCCAUCUUUGCACUUGACCACUUGAUUUCUUAUUUGACGUCUUUCCUGUAUUUGGCCUAGUGUUCAAGUGAGCAUGAUGACCACAAGUGUGUGUCGAACUUUUCAUGACCUGAUGACUGUGUUUCCCAAUCCUGGUCCUGGAGAACCCCAGCACUGCAUGGUUUUGGUGUCUCUCUUAUCUGACAAACACACUUUUGAGGUCUUGGAGUCUUCACUGAUGAGCUGAUGAGUUGAAUCAGGUGUGUUUGAUCAGGGAGACAUCUCAAAUGUGCAGUGUUGGGCUUCUCCAGGACCAGGAUUGGGAGCCACUGCCUUAUGGGACACAGGUUUAGUGUGUGUUAAGGACGCUGUGCUUUGGCAUUAUUAAGACCGGGCAAAGUCUCGUUCACACACUGUCACGUACACACACUCUCAAGUGGCCAAGACUGCAAGUGUGGGUAUCUGGACAGGGUCAAAGUCUUAAAAAUGAUCCCUAAACACAGUCGCACAUCGCAGUCUUAAUAAUCCAGUUUAACACUUGUAUGAUAUUGUACAAGCCCCAGGACGGUCUCAUCUGACACUAUCAGAAUAAUUCAUAUGACUAUAGCUUGCUAUUAAUUACUUGCUUUCUUGCUUUACUUGCUUAAUUAUACAGCAUCUUUACAGAGGUGUAAUGUACAAGUUGCACGUAAUUAAUAAUAUUUCCUUCCUUCUGUCUUACAGGAUUUUUUUGAGAUAAUGCUGUUCUUCUUUUUCAGGUCUGAAAUAUCAAGCUCAACAGCUCACUCAAGAGCCAACCCUCACAAACCUUCCUAAAAACUAAAAGAGCUAUUACUGAGUCUCAGCGAAUCUUGCCAUGAUCAGCUCUUCCCAGAAGAGAAGGAAGACCAAGGAAAUGAUUUGCUCAGGAUGAGAAAUGAAGAUGGCCAUCUUGUGCUCAAACAAACAGAAGUCCUCUGGUAUGUGUGUGUUGAAGCAAUGCUGUGUUAUACAACAUUUU